rnacentral:tRNA from 1 species
GCAUUGGUGGCUCAGUGGUAGAAUUCUCACCUUCCAUGUGGGAGACCUGAGUUUAAUUCCCAAUCAAUGGA